rnacentral:rRNA from 1 species
CCUACGGGCGGCAGCAGUGGGGAAUAUUGGUCAAUGGGCGAAAGCCUGAUCCAGCCAUGCCGCGUGUGUGAAGAAGGCCUUCGGGUUGUAAAGCACUUUCAGUGGGGAAGAAAGCCUUGGGGCUAAUACCCUCGAGGAAGGACAUCACCCACAGAAGAAGCACCGGCUAACUCCGUGCCAGCAGCCGCGGUAAUACGGAGGGUGCGAGCGUUAAUCGGAAUUACUGGGCGUAAAGCGCGCGUAGGCGGUCUGAUAAGCCGGUUGUGAAAGCCCCGGGCUCAACCUGGGAACGGCAUCCGGAACUGUCAGGCUAGAGUGCAGGAGAGGAAGGUAGAAUUCCCGGUGUAGCGGUGAAAUGCGUAGAGAUCGGGAGGAAUACCAGUGGCGAAGGCGGCCUUCUGGACUGACACUGACGCUGAGGUGCGAAAGCGUGGGUAGCAAACAGGAUUAGAUACCCCGGUAGUC